rnacentral:tRNA from 1 species
UGGGGGAUCGUCUAACGGUAGGACAGCGGACUCUGACUCCGCCAGUGGAGGUUCGAAUCCUCCUCCCCCAGCCA